rnacentral:rRNA from 1 species
AACGAACGCUGGCGGCAUGCCUAACACAUGCAAGUCGAACGAAACCUUCGGGUCUAGUGGCGCACGGGUGCGUAACGCGUGGGAACCUGCCCUUAGGUUCGGAAUAACUCCCCGAAAGGGGUGCUAAUACCGGAUAAUGUCUUCGGACCAAAGAUUUAUCGCCUUUGGAUGGGCCCGCGUUGGAUUAGCUAGUUGGUAGGGUAAAAGCCUACCAAGGCGACGAUCCAUAGCUGGUCUGAGAGGAUGAUCAGCCACACUGGGACUGAGGCACGGCCCAGACUCCUACGGGAGGCAGCAGUGGGGAAUAUUGGACAAUGGGCGAAAGCCUGAUCCAGCAAUGCCGCGUGAGUGAUGAAGGCCUUAGGGUUGUAAAGCUCUUUUACCCGGGAUGAUAAUGACAGUACCGGGAGAAUAAGCGCCGGCUAACUCCGUG